rnacentral:rRNA from 1 species
AUACGUAGGUGGCGGGCGUUGUCCGGAAUUACUGGGCGUAAAGGAUGCGUAGGUGGAUAUUUAAGUGGGAUGUGAAAUCCCCGGGCUCAACCCGGGAACUGCAUUCCAAACUGGGUAUCUAGAGUGCAGGAGAGGAAAGCGGAAUUCCUAGUGUAGCGGUGAAAUGCGUAGAUAUUAGGAGGAACACCAGUGGCGAAGGCGGUUUUCUGGACUGUAACUGACACUGGGGCAUGAAAGCGUGGGUAGCAAACAGGAUUAGAUCCCCUGGUAGUCCACGCCGUAAACGAUGGGUACUAGGUGUAGGAGGUAUCGACCCCUUCUGUGCCGUCGUUAACACAAUAAGUACCCCGCCUGGGGAGUACGGUCGCAAGACUAAAACUCAAAGGAAUUGGCGGGG